rnacentral:tRNA from 1 species
AAGGAUUUAAGUUAAAUAAACUUUUAACCUUCAAAGUUAAAUAUAGAUAAAGUUAAAUCUAAGCCUUA